UUAUCGCAGGCAUAAAAAUGUCACGAGGGCAAAAACGAAUCAAAACACCCAAGUCUGAAAACGGUUUUAACCUGAAUGAUUUUCUUUGUUAGGAGAAACUGCCCUUCUAAAAGGCUCUGGCCAGAAGCCUCUUUAGGAUCCAAGUGCUGUGAGGAGACAUGACUACAGUGCACAUCGGUAGAGCCCUAUUAGCCCAGUAGCUGGACCAGGGCCAACUGCAGCAGUGAAGUCAAAUGGGCCAUCCAAGCUCAUCUGUGAUCUUGGGGACAUACUCGGAUUCCAGGCCGCCCUGAAACCUAGGACACUGCAUUUUCACUGGUACUGGACCCUGGACUAAGCAGUUUGGGUAUUAAAGAUAUUCUGGUGUACGUGGGCUGAAAUCACACUUCUAGACUGCAGGGUGAAGGUCCCAAGAGCAGCUGCCUUUAUACCAGAUGAGCAGGGAAACAGAGCAGCUGGGGUCCCAACUUGCCCCUUGAAGAAUGAAAAUGAUUUGGGUGUUUUGAUGUACAGCUAUUUUUGUUGGCCUAAGUGAGGCAUGAUCCUGGCGCCUCCUCUGGCUGCCUCAGCAUGUGGCCAGAUGUGCUGCUGGGGGAGAGCAAGCCACUGCCCUGGGGCCAGCAGGACCUAGCUGGCUUGGGGAAUGGAGGGUCAGGAGCACACAUAGUUAGCUACUGUAAGGAAGAGAGCAUCGCGCCAUGUCGAGAUGCUGGGAGCACAGGGGGCACUGGCAUAAAGGGACAACAACAUUUAAUGCUCUGGUGCUGGAGGAAGAGUCCAAAGGAACCCAACUGCUUGAAGCCAGCCCAGGCCCAGGUGGUGUGGCCAAUGCAGUAUUCGAGACGCAACCAAGAGGCCUGUGCUGGAGCCAGAGGGAACAACACUGACAUGUUCUCUAACCCUUCACAGUAAUUAGCCCUCAGCCUCCACCUGCCAGGUAGGUCAGCAAGUUGCUGAUCCUCACUUGACAGCUGGAGAAAGAAAGAGGGGCACAAGGAGGUCAAAUAUACUUUUGUGCCAGAGCUGGAGCCACAAACCAGGGCUCCUCUGUGAGCCUAAACUAUGAUCAGAAAGGGAGCUCAAAUUGCUAGGAGGGUGACCUCAAAAUGGCUAUGCACCCAGAUGGAUCCAGGAAUCCAAAAGGCCAGUGCUGGAUCCUGCCAAGAGGCACUUGGACAAGCAGACAGAGCAUGGGCUGCAGGACAAGAAGAAGAGGACAUAGCCAGGAGACUGCGGCUCUGCACUGCUGCCUGCAGCCAGCACCUCUAAGUCAGAGAAAUCAAGGGCCCUAGAGAGUUCAGGGGAGCCUAUAGGACUGGGGCUAUACUAAAGACCUGAUCUGUCAGUCAUUUGAUGGGAUCACCAUGAUCCUCAGCAGCUACUAACCAACAGUGAAGCUCUUCUCCCCACCUGCAAUCUGCCUGGACUCACGGGUGGAGCUGAGGAACAUUUCCUAGGAGGUGCCACCAAGAUGUACCGAUAGGGUAGGGUUGGUGAACUUGCCAUAAGAGCCUCCCCUCCUCCCUCAUGGUAGUGUACUUCUCCAUGUUCUCUGGGCAUAGUGGCCCUGGCUUACAACUGAGUGAACUUAUUAGAAUUGCAGGCUUGGACAGAGCUGACAUCUGACUGAGACAGAGAGGUCAAUUCAUUCAGACGCAGAGCUGGGCUCACUGCCCCCUGCCUUUCCUCCAGAACCUCUCUUUGCUAGUGAGCAGGGGGCAUGGGGCAAACACAACAUAAAGCCCAGAGACUGCAUCUUUAGUGCGAGGGCAAACAAGGUCCUAACAACAAUGCAGAAGUCGCAGACUGCUCUGAGCUCCAAAGAAGCGAGAGCUCGGUUCAUCUUUUACAAGAAAAUCCCCAUGGACACAUGUGAGCAGGCUGCUGCUGGCAACCAUAGCCUGGAGCUCAGCAUAAUGUAUUUCCCAGACCUCCUAGGAAGCAUCUGUCUUGUGUUCCUUUCCCAGAGCGCUCCUUCCCCCCUUUCUCUUUGCAAUUUUUCAAGUAGGUUUUUUUUCUCUCUUUAAAAAGCUCUUCCCCACUGAGAGCAUGCUUCUGCGUCUUUCAUCAGGCUUUGUUUUAGGCUGAAGGCAGGGAUGAGUCUACAGCCAGUGCAGAUGGAUUGACAAUCAGCCAUGCCUCUGGAUUCCAAUUCUAGGGGAGGACAGGAACCCUGUUACCCAGCCUGCCUUCCUCCGCUGACAACUGGGGCGUGCUGGGGCUCCCUUUGUUAGUCUGAGAACAUAGCACAAGCCACCUCUCCAUCUGUAUCCAGGUAUGCAGACAACUGGCUUCAGAGGUUUGUAUCGCCUGGCAUCACACUAGGGCUCAUCCUGGGGCAGUUUGGUGAUGGGGCCAGAACAGCAGGGUGCUUUUCUUCUUGGUGCUGCAGUAUUUCUAAUGCUAUUCUGGGGAGUCUCCUCAGUGCAAGGUACACGGUCACGCAUGUUACGGUUCAUACAUUCAGUACUGGGGUGAGAAGCAGACAAGUCACAGCUGACCAGGCACGUGCAUCACAGCAAGAGAAGAAUCACAGUCCCAACUCCACCAUCCCCCUGAUCCAGUAGAUGGCGCUCUUCUCCGUUGAUCCGCUCAAGUGUGGCAGUAGGGGGGUACAGUACUGCAGUCUUCCAGGCUAGAUGAAGGGAUGGUGAUAAUUUCCGAUCUCGAGGUCUUCACGUAGUAGGGCACCUAACCCUCCUUCCAGCCUGCACUCUUCUCCAGCUGUCUUGUUCUCCCAGCGUGCUUUAACUUUAUAAAGGAUAAGGGAGUAUCUCUCAACAGAUGUGUGGGGGUAGGCUGAUUUUACAUUAGGAUUUAAGAGGGAAAAUAUGGCAAAACUGUUCCCAACACCAAGAGCUGCAGAGAAGCUGGCUGUCACGUCCAAGGGAGCACGCUGGUGAGCAAGAAUCAAAGGGUGAGAUCUGGCAGAGGUACAGGUCCAAGGUGGUA